rnacentral:rRNA from 1 species
CCUACGGGAGGCAGCAGUGGGGAAUAUUGCGCACUGGGCGAAAGCCUGACGCAGCGACGCCGCGUGAGGGAUGAAGGUCCUCGGAGCGUAAACCUCUGUCAGCAGGGAAGAACGGUCACUGUGCUAAUCAGCAGUGAAUUGACGGUACCUGCAAAGGAAGCACCGGCUAACUCCGUGCCAGCAGCCGCGGUAAUACGGGGGGUGCGAUCGGUAAUCGGAAUUUCUGGGCGUAAAGCGCUCGUAGGCGGUAUGUCAAGUCAAGGGUGAAAUCCCCGCGCUCAACGUGGGAACUGCCUUUGAAACUGGCAAACUGGAGUGUGUGAGAGGAUAGUGGAAUUCCAGGUGGAGGAGUGAAAUCCGUAGAUAUCUGGAAGAACAUCAGUGGCGAAGGCGACUAUCUGGCACAUAACUGACGCUGAGGAGCGAAAGCGUGGGUAGCAAACAGGAGUAGAUACCCCUGUAGUC